rnacentral:rRNA from 1 species
CCCUUAGAUGUUCUGGGCCGCACACGCGCUACACUGACGGAUUCAACGAGCUUACAACCUUGGCCGAAAGGUCUGGGUAAUCUCCAAAAUCCGUCGUGAUGGGGAUAGAUUAUUGCAAUUAUUAAUCUUCAACGAGGAAUGCCUAGUAAGCGCAAGUCAUCAGCUUGCGUUGAUUACGUCCCUGCCCUUUGUACACACCGCCCGUCGCUCCUACCGAUUGAAUGGUCCGGUGAAGCGUUUGGACUAUGGUUUUCUGAUGGUCCGCCGUUGGAUUACCGUGGGAAGUUCGUUAAACCUUAUCAUUUAGAGGAAGGAGAAGUCGUAACA